rnacentral:ncRNA from 1 species
GGUCAAGUUAUAAAGGGCAUACGGUGGAUGCCUUGGCGCUAAGAGCUGAUGAAGGACGUGGUAAGCUGCGAUAAGCUACGGGGAGCUGCAAGCAAGUUUCGAUCCGUAGAUUUCCGAAUGGGGCAACCUGCUUGGAGUAAUAUCCAAGUAUCAUAUACUGAAUACAUAGGUAUAUGAAGGCAACCCGGGGAACUGAAACAUCUAAGUACCCGGAGGAAAAUAAAGAAAACUCGAUUCCCCUAGUAGCGGCGAGCGAAAAGGGAAAAGCCCAAACCAAUCCUUCGGGAUUGGGGUUGUGGGACCUGCAUAAAGUUCAAUUUUCUAGUCGAAUAGAUCUGGAAA